rnacentral:rRNA from 1 species
GAUGUGAUGGGGAAGCCCUUCGGGGCGAAGUAGCUGAUUUCACACUGUCAAGAAAAGCUUCUAUCGAGUUUAAAGGCGCCCGUACCGUAAACCGACACAGGUGGGUGAGGAGAGUAUCCUAAGGCCAGCGAGAGAACUAUUGUUAAGGAACUCGGCAAAAUGACCCCGUAACUUAGGGAGAAGGGGUGCCUGUCUAUGACAGGCCGCAGAGAAUAGGCCCAAGCGACUGUUUACCAAAAACACAGGUUUCUGCUAAGUCGCAAGACGAUGUAUAGGAGCUGACGCCUGCCCGGUGCUGGAAGGUUAAGGGGAUCUGUUAGAGCAAUCGAAGCAGUGAACUUAAGCCCCAGUAAACGGCGGCCGUAACGAUAACGGUCCUAAGGUAGCGAAAUUCCUUGUCGGGUAAGUUCCGACCCGCACGAAAGGCGUAACGAUUUGGGCACUGUCUCAACAAUAGACUCGGUGAAAUUGUAAUCCCGGUGAAGAUGCCGGGUACCUGCGACAGGACGGAAAGACCCCAUGGAGCUUUACUGUAGCUUGACGUUGGGUCUUGGUACUACAUGUACAGGAUAGGUGGGAGACUAUGAAGCAUGGACGCCAGUCUGUGUGGAGUCAUCCUUGGGAUACCACCCUUGUAGUACUGGGAUCCUAACCAUAGGCCUUGAAUCAGGUCUUGGAACACCGUCAGGUGGGCAGUUUGACUGGGGCGGUCGCCUCCUAAAAAGUAACGGAGGCGCUCAAAGGUUUCCUCAGCACGGUCGGAAAUCGUGCGAAGAGUGUAUAGGCAAAAGGAAGCUUGAUUGCAAGACAUACAGGUCGAGCAAGGACGAAAGUCGGACUUAGUGAUCCGGUGGUACCGCAUGGAAGGGCCAUCGCUCAACGGAUAAAAGCUACCCUGGGGAUAACAGGCUUAUCUCCCCCAAGAGUCCACAUCGACGGGGAGGUUUGGCACCUCGAUGUCGGCUCGUCACAUCCUGGGGCUGUAGUAGGUCCCAAGGGUUGGGCUGUUCGCCCAUUAAAGUGGUACGCGAGCUGGGUUCAGAACGUCGUGAGACAGUUCGGUCCCUAUCCGUCGCAGGCGUAGGAAAUUUGAGAAGACCUGUCCUUAGUACGAGAGGACCGGGAUGGACGUACCUCUGGUGUACCAGUUGUUCUGCCAAGGGCAUGGCUGGGUAGCUAUGUACGGAAUGGAUAAGCGCUGAAAGCAUCUAAGCGCGAAGCCAACUUCAAGAUAAGAUUUCCCACCGUAAGGGUAAGACCCCGGGAAGACUACCUGGUUGAUAGGUCGAAGGUGUAAGUGCAGUAAUGUAUUUAGCUUAUCGAUACUAAUAGGUCGAGGACUUGACCA